rnacentral:rRNA from 1 species
GAUGAACGCUGGCGGCGUGCUUAACACAUGCAAGUCGAACGAUGAAGCCCAGCUUGCUGGGUGGAUUAGUGGCGAACGGGUGAGUAACACGUGAGUAACCUGCCCUUAACUCUGGGAUAAGCCUGGGAAACUGGGUCUAAUACCGGAUAGGAGCGUCCACCGCAUGGUGGGUGUUGGAAAGAUUUAUCGGUUUUGGAUGGACUCGCGGCCUAUCAGCUUGUUGGUGAGGUAAUGGCUCACCAAGGCGACGACGGGUAGCCGGCCUGAGAGGGUGACCGGCCACACUGGGACUGAGACACGGCCCAGACGCCUACGGGAGGCAGCAGUGGGGAAUAUUGCACAAUGGGCGCAAGCCUGAUGCAGCGACGCCGCGUGAGGGAUGACGGCCUUCGGGUUGUAAACCUCUUUCAGUAGGGAAGAAGCGAAAGUGACGGUACCUGCAGAAGAAGCACCGGCUAACUACGU